AGCCAUGGUGUUUGUGCCAAAUUAUUCCCAGAGACUAUGCGGUGUAUGUAAUGAACAAUAUCUAGGAAUGCAGUGGAUAUGGCAUAGUACACAAGGCUCUUCGCGGAGAUGAGGGCAGCAACCUUCAUUGCAAGAGACUCACAUUUUCAGAUAGAGGAAGUUUGCUCAAGAAGACCGAACCCAUCCAAUCUAUGCUGGGUGGAAGCGGUAUUGUUUAUUCUGGAAGAAGUGUGCCAGCUACAACUUGGAUAACAUCCUUUCAGGUUUGCUUGGCUCUGGCUCCUCUCAGCUUUCCUCCCAGGAUUCUAUGGAGUUUGAGAAUUCACACACAGACACACAGAUGUUUGAGACGGAAGAGUAAACAUUGAAGUUCAUCAUUAUUAAGAAGAAGCAAGACAUGCUGUUUCGGGCACACUCCUUGUCUGGGAGAUACUAAGGCAUGAAAUGGAAAGCAGUUUGGGUAGAUUUUGUUAUUUAUUUAUUUUGUG